rnacentral:rRNA from 1 species
GACGAACGCUGGCGGCGUGCUUAACACAUGCAAGUCGAACGGAAAGGCCCUGCUUUUGUGGGGUGCUCGAGUGGCGAACGGGUGAGUAACACGUGAGUAACCUGCCCUUGACUUUGGGAUAAGUUAAGGAAACUGGGGCUAAUACAGGAUCGGAGCCCCUGCUGCGUGGUGGGGGUGGGAAAGUUUGGGCGGUUGGGGAUGGACUCGCGGUUUAUGCGCUUGUUGGUGGGGUGGUGGCUUACCAAGGCUUUGAUGGUUAGCCGGCCUGGGAGGGUGACCGGCUCCAGUGGCCCUGGGGUGCGGCCCAGGCGCAUUCGGGGGGCAGCGGUGGGGGAUUUAGCACGAUGGGCGGAGGGCGGAAGCAGCGACGCCGGGUGCGGGAUGACGGCCUUCGGGUAGUAAGCCGCUUUCGCUUGUGACGAGGCGUGAGUGCGGUUACUGAGGAAAGAGGCACCGGCAACUUCCUU